rnacentral:tRNA from 1 species
GGCGUGGCGAAAUUGGUAGACGCACUGGAUUUAGGUUCCAGCGCCGCAAGGUGUAAGAGUUCGAGUCUCUUCGCCCCCACCA